GGAUUGUAGCUCAGAGGUAGAGUGCUUGCCUAGCAUGUGUGAGGCACUGGGUUUGAUCCUCAGCACCA
rnacentral:tRNA from 1 species